rnacentral:rRNA from 1 species
CCUACGGGUGGCAGCAGUGAGGAAUAUUGGUCAAUGGGAGAGAUCCUGAACCAGCCAAGCCGCGUGAGGGAAGACGGCCCUAUGGGUUGUAAACCUCUUUUGUCGGAGAACAAAACCCGGGACGUGUCCCGGACUGCGUGUAUCCGAAGAAAAAGCAUCGGCUAACUCCGUGCCAGCCGCCGCGGUAAUACGGAGGAUGCGAGCGUUAUCCGGAUUUACUGGGCGGAAAGGGUGUGCAGGCGGCUGAGUAAGACAGAUGUGAACUCCCCGGGCUUAACCUGGGAACCGCAUAUGUGACUGCUUGGCUAGAGUGCGUCAGAGGGAGGUGGAAUUCCACGUGUAGCAGUGAAAUGCGUAGAUAUGUGGAAGAACACCGAUGGCGAAGGCAGCCUCCUGGGACGCAACUGACGCUCAUACACGAAAGCGUGGGGAGCAAACAGGAUUAGAUACCCCGGUAGUC